rnacentral:rRNA from 1 species
UGGGGAAUAUUGCACAAUGGAGGAAACCCUGAUGCAGCGACGCCGCGUGAACGAAGAAGGUAUUCGUAUCGUAAAGUUCUGUCCUAUGGGAAGAUAAUGACAGUACCAUAGAAGAAAGCUCCGGCUAAAUACGUGCCAGCAGCCGCGGUAAUACGUAUGGAGCGAGCGUUGUCCGGAAUUAUUGGGCGUAAAGGGUACGCAGGCGGUUUAAUAAGUCGAAUGUUAAAGAUCGGGGCUCAACCCCGCAAAGCAUUGGAAACUGAUAAACUUGAGUAGUGGAGAGGAAAGUGGAAUUCCUAGUGUAGUGGUGAAAUACGUAGAUAUUAGGAGGAAUACCAGUAGCGAAGGCGACUUUCUGGACACAAACUGACGCUGAGGUACGAAAGCGUGGGGAGCAAACAGG